UACACCCCCAUAGUUCAACCACCUCCUACCAGACUCCUCUUCCAAUGCUGGGGAUUACAAUUCAACGUGAAAUUUCAGCAGAGACACUGACCCACAUCAUAUCAGGGAUAGGAAAUGCUACCUGUCUCAUUUUAAUCCAUAUUGAAGGCUUCAGAUUUCCUUCAUUCUCCAAGUGAUGCAAAACUAAGGCCAGAAUAUAGUCACUGCUGGGUCAGUGCAAAACCAACUCUGACCUUCUAACAUGAAACCUACUCCAUGAGACACCCUCCUCCCUCACAAGAUGGGUUGAUUACAUUGGAACCCUCUAUGAGCAGC